GACGAACGCUGGCGGCGUGCUUAACACAUGCAAGUCGAGCGGAAAGGCCCUUUUGGGGGUACUCGAGCGGCGAACGGGUGAGUAACACGUGAGUAAUCUGCCCUUCACUUUGGGAUAGCCACCGGAAACGGUGAUUAAUACCGGAUACGACGCACUCGGGCAUCCGAUGUGUGUGGAAACUUUUUGGGUGGGGGAUGUGCUCGCGGCCUAUCAGCUUGUUGGUGGGGUAAUGGCCUACCAAGGCUUUGACGGGUAGCCGGCCUGAGAGGGUGACCGGCCAAACUGGGACUGAGACACGGCCCAGACUCCUACGGGAGGCAGCAGUGGGGAAUAUUGGACAAUGGGCGGAAGCCUGAUCCAGCAACGCCGCGUGAGGGAUGACGGCCUUCGGGUUGUAAACCUCUUUCAGCACCGACGAAGCGCAAGUGACGGUAGGUGCAGAAGAAGGACCGGCCAACUACGUGCCAGCAGCCGCGGUAAAAC
rnacentral:rRNA from 1 species